CCCUGCAUUCGAAAGUGAUCAUGGGCUGCCCGUGCCCUGGUCAUCGAUAGUGCAGGGAAAGGAGUCGUUGAAAGCCUUUCCCCGUGUUUGGAGGGUCCACUCCUGUCCCUUCCAAACCCUGGCGCUUUCCCACA
ensembl:snoRNA SNORA71 Small nucleolar RNA SNORA71